rnacentral:rRNA from 1 species
CCUACGGGAGGCAGCAGUAGGGAAUCUUCCACAAUGGGCGAAAGCCUGAUGGAGCAACGCCGCGUGCAGGAUGAAAGCCUUCGGGUCGUAAACUGCUUUUAUAUGCGACGAAUAUGACGGUAGCAUAUGAAUAAGGAUCGGCUAACUCCGUGCCAGCAGCCGCGGUAAUA